UGGGGAAUAUUGCGCAAUGGGCGAAAGCCUGAUCCAGCCAUGCCGCGUGAGUGACGAAGGCCUUAGGGUUGUAAAACUCUUUCGUCGGGGACGAUAAUGACGGUACCCGAAGAAGAAGCUCCGGCUAACUUCGUGCCAGCAGCCGCGGUAAUACGAAGGGAGCUAGCGUUGUUCGGAAUCACUGGGCGUAAAGCGCACGUAGGCGGAUAGUUAAGUCAGGGGUGAAAUCCUGGGGCUCAACCCCAGAACUGCCUUUGAUACUGGCUGUCUCGAGGUCGAGAGAGGUUGGUGGAAUUCCUAGUGUAGAGGUGAAAUUCGUAGAUAUUAGGAAGAACACCAGUGGCGAAGGCGGCCAACUGGCUCACAACUGACGCUGAUACUCGAAAGCGUGGGUAGCAAACAGGAUUAGAUACCCCCGUAGUCCCUGAGCGGGCUGGCAAGGCGCAU
rnacentral:rRNA from 1 species